rnacentral:sRNA from 1 species
AACCUACGUACUACAUGUACUUGCAUUCAUUUUGAUAUAUUCCUCUUAAUUUACCUAUCUUUUUUUUCUACCUCAUGUAAUACAUGUACAUUUACAGAUUGAAAAUAUCAAUUGUAAGCUAUUUAUUAUCUACAUGUACUACAAUAGGUACAUCUAAUGACAUACACAUAAACAUAUGUAGUAUGUAGAGUCUUCAACCCCAAAAAAAGUGGAAAAAAGAAGAAUUCAAAAUCUAUCCAGUUCAUUUUUGAAAUGCUAAGUGUCAAUGUUGAAAUAUUUUGGUGCCAUAGCAUUUGUUUAGUUCUGUCAUAUUUGCUGUGAUGUCUUUUUUUAUGUCAAUUAUUUAAACUCCCGAGAAUUUGGAAAAAAAAAUCAAUUUGAAUGUUUGAUUGCAGUCAUGGUAGCAAUAAUUCUCAACUAUAGUAAACGACAACAACAAACUGCUCCCACACUUAAAGUUCAGAGUGUAAAGUUCACCAAGGAUGUGUCAGUCACUGUGAUAUAUAUAUAAAUAUAUAGAAUUGUCCUCAUAUGGUGGAUGUUGACAAUAAAAAAAAAUACCAAC